GUGAACGCUGGCGGCGUGCCUAAUACCUGCAAGUCGCGCGAACAGACGAGGAGCUUGCUCCUCUGACGUUAGCGGCGGACGGGUGAGUAACACGUGGAUAACCUACCUAUAAGACUGGGAUAACUUCGGGAAACCGGAGCUAAUACCGGAUAAUAUAUUGAACCGCAUGGUUCAAUAGUGAAAGACGGUUUUGCUGUCACUUAUAGAUGGAUCCGCGCCGCAUUAGCUAGUUGGUAAGGUAACGGCUUACCAAGGCAACGAUGCGUAGCCGACCUGAGAGGGUGAUCGGCCACACUGGAACUGAGACACGGUCCAGACUCCUACGGGAGGCAGCAGUAGGGAAUCUUCCGCAAUGGGCGAAAGCCUGACGGAGCAACGCCGCGUGAGUGAUGAAGGUCUUCGGAUCGUAAAACUCUGUUAUUAGGGAAGAACAAAUGUGUAAGUAACUAUGCACGUCUUGACGGUACCUAAUCAGAAAGCCACGGCUAACUACGUG
rnacentral:rRNA from 1 species